AGCUCAGUUGGUAGAGUGCUUGCCUUACAUGCACAAGGCCCUGGGUUCAAUCCCCAG
rfam:Ictidomys tridecemlineatus contig029620, whole genome shotgun sequence.